UACGUAGGGUGCAAGCGUUGUCCGGAAUCAUUGGGCGUAAAGAGCGUGUAGGCGGCUCGAUUAGUCCGCUGUAAAAGUCCAGGGCUCAACCCCUGGGAUGCCGGUGGAAACUGUCGGGCUAGAGUCCGGGAGAGGCGAGUGGAAUUCCUGGUGUAGCGGUGAAAUGCGCAGAUAUCAGGAGGAACACCAAUGGCGAAGGCAGCUCGCUGGAACGGUACUGACGCUGAGACGCGAAAGCGUGGGGAGCAAACAGG
rnacentral:rRNA from 1 species